AAAAAAUUCAACACGCAUUUUUGGGCUGCUAUGACGUAACUUGGUUGCUCGCCUAUUUGCAGUGACUAUUUGUCGAGCAACCAAGUUACGUCAUCAAAAAUCGAGAUGUCGGCUUCGAUGGAAUCAAGGUACUGUAAAAGUACUCCCACAUUUUAACUUAUUGCCAGAAACCCUUCUACUUUUUGCUUGGCCGAGUUGACUUUUGUUACUAUUAGGAAGGAACUGUUAGGAAGGAACUGUGUUAAAAGAAACAAUAACUUUGCCGACGUUAACUGCGUUUUUUCACCGUAUAUAUAUACCUCUUCUAUUUAAAACGAUCUGACCUAAUUAAAAGGUGUGUCCAAGAUGUAAAAAAGUUCACAAAAAAUUCGGCAAAGCAAAAUUUUUGGCAAUAACAUGUGCAGGUAUUUUAAAUGUCCCCUAUACUCUAGGAAUUUAUUAUAGCACAUAAUCUGGUUAUACUUUACAACAUAUAUAUUUCAACAUAUCCUCACACCUAGAAUUCACGAUUAUCGUUAAUUUGCGAAUCGGUCUUAUUAUCGUGAAUUUCUAACCGUAAUCCGAACUGAAUCCUGGUCCAACCUUCGCUUGUUCCCUCUUUAUGCCUUCCUUAACAGUUCCCUCAAUAAUCCUUUUUACUUAUUCUUGAAAAGUACCAAUUAUAAGUUGCCCAGUAUGACUAAAAUAAAGCCAGUUUUCCAUUUCAAGCGUACCGAAACGUAUCAGAAACAUUUUUAAAUUUCAAAAUUUAGUGAAUGUUGAUUGGUUAAUACUUCCGUAGUACGCCAAAACGUUGACAUGCGACGAACUUUUCAUUUUGAUACGCGAAUACACCCGGAAGUACGUGGGAUUUAUAAACCUCUUUUCAAUCUGCGCAUGCUCACCAGUACGUUUCGGUAUGGUCAACUACUCAAGUAUAGAGUCGCUCUUUAAAUUCACUAUUAUCAUGAAAUCAGAGCGAUUUGAGAAUUAACG